CCUACGGGUGGCUGCAGUGAGGAAUAUUGGUCAAUGGACGGAAGUCUGAACCAGCCAUGUCGCGUGCAGGAUGACUGCCCUAUGGGUUGUAAACUGCUUUUGUAUGGGAAGAAAGUGAGGUACGUGUACCUUAUUGCCGGUACCAUACGAAUAAGGAUCGGCUAACUCCGUGCCAGCAGCCGCGGUAAUACGGAGGAUCCGAGCGUUAUCCGGAUUUAUUGGGUUUAAAGGGUGCGUAGGCUGGGGAUUAAGUCAGUGGUGAAAGUUUGCGGCUC
rnacentral:rRNA from 1 species